rnacentral:rRNA from 1 species
UGAGCGCUGGGUGUCGGAUUUAACCUAGUGGCGGACGGGUGAGUAACGCGUGAGUAACCUGCCUUUCAGAGGGGGAUAACGUUCUGAAAAGAACGCUAAUACCGCAUAACAUGAAGCCAUCGCAUGGUGGCAUUAUCAAAGGAGCAAUCCGCUGAGAGAUGGACUCGCGUCCGAUUAGCCAGUUGGCGGGGUAACGGCCCACCAAAGCGACGAUCGGUAGCCGGACUGAGAGGUUGAACGGCCACAUUGGGACUGAGACACGGCCCAGACUCC